rnacentral:rRNA from 1 species
UACGGGGGGGGCAAGCGUUGUUCGGAAUUACUGGGCGUAAAGGGCUCGUAGGCGGCCAACUAAGUCAGACGUGAAAUCCCUCGGCUUAACCGGGGAACUGCGUCUGAUACUGGAUGGCUUGAGUUCGGGAGAGGGAUGCGGAAUUCCAGGUGUAGCGGUGAAAUGCGUAGAUAUCUGGAGGAACACCGGUGGCGAAGGCGGCAUCCUGGACCGACACUGACGCUGAGGCGCGAAGGCGUGGGGAGCGAACAGG